UAUCUCUCUUCUCACUUCUCCUCUUUCUUUACAAACUAGGUUUUUACAAAUGCCCAGGGUUCCUUCUCUCUCUAUAUUCCGGCGAUUCAAAUUUCACAAACGCUGUAAAUUAGAUUUUGGCGUACAUCCUUCAUUUGUUCAUCCAUUACUUCAUCAAAAGGGUUUCGUUCGAGAGUUAGAUCAAGAGAUGGGGCGCCGGCUAAUGGUUCUGCGGUGUUUCUCUUACAAGAUUGUUUCAUCUUCAGAUGAUAAUGAUGAUGAUUGUUCUACGGUUGUUUCCAGUAU